rnacentral:rRNA from 1 species
UACGGAGGGUCCGAGCGUUAUCCGGAAUUAUUGGGUUUAAAGGGUCCGUAGGCGGGCCGUUAAGUCAGGGGUGAAAGUCUGCAGCUCAACUGUAGAAAUGCCUUUGAUACUGGCGGUCUUGAGUUAUGGUGAAGUUGCCGGAAUAUGUAGUGUAGCGGUGAAAUGCAUAGAUAUUACAUAGAACACCGAUUGCGAAGGCAGGUGGCUAACCAUAUACUGACGCUGAUGGACGAAAGCGUGGGGAGCGAACAGG